UGCGUAGGCGGGUCUUUAAGUCAGGGGUGAAAUCCUGGAGCUCAACUCCAGAACUGCCUUUGAUACUGAAGAUCUUGAGUUCGGGAGAGGUGAGUGGAACUGCGAGUGUAGAGGUGAAAUUCGUAGAUAUUCGCAAGAGCACCAGUGGCGAAGGCGGCUCACUGGCCCGAUACUGACGCUGAGGCACGAAAGCGUGGGGAGCAAACA
rnacentral:rRNA from 1 species